rnacentral:rRNA from 2 species
UUAAGCGACUAAGCGUACACGGUGGAUGCCCUGGCAGUCAGAGGCGAUGAAGGACGUGCUAAUCUGCGAAAAGCGACGGCGAGGUGAUAUGAACCUUUGACCCGUCGAUGUCCGAAUGGGGAAACCCAGUGUGAUUCGUCACACUAUCGUUAACUGAAUACAUAGGUUAACGAGGCGAACCGGGGGAACUGAAACAUCUAAGUACCCCGAGGAAAAGAAAUCAACCGAGAUUCCCCCAGUAGCGGCGAGCGAACGGGGAGCAGCCCGGAGUCUGAAUCAGCUUGUGUGUUAGUGGAACGGUCUGGAAAGUCCGACGGUACAGGGUGAUAGUCCCGUACACGAAAACACACUUGCUGUGAACUCGAAGAGUAGGGCGGGACACGUGGUAUCCUGUCUGAAUAUGGGGGGACCAUCCUCCAAGGCUAAAUACUCCUGACUGACCGAUAGCGAACCAGUACCGUGAGGGAAAGGCGAAAAGAACCCCGGCGAGGGGAGUGAAAAAGAACCUGAAACCGUGUACGUACAAGCAGUGGGAGCCUCUUUAUGGGGUGACUGCGUACCUUUUGUAUAAUGGGUCAGCGACUUAUAUUCUGUAGCAAGGUUAACCGUAUAGGGGAGCCGAAGGGAAACCGAGUCUUAACUGGGCGUUAAGUUGCAGGGUAUAGACCCGAAACCCGGUGAUCUAGCCAUGGGCAGGUUGAAGGUUGGGUAACACUAACUGGAGGACCGAACCGACUAAUGUUGAAAAAUUAGCGGAUGACCUGUGGCUGGGGGUGAAAGGCCAAUCAAACCGGGAGAUAGCUGGUUCUCCCCGAAAGCUAUUUAGGUAGCGCCUCGUGAAUUCAUCUUCGGGGGUAGAGCACUGUUUCGGCUAGGGGGCCAUCCCGGCUUACCAACCCGAUGCAAACUACGAAUACCGAAGAAUGUUAUCACGGGAGACACACGGCGGGUGCUAACGUCCGUCGUGAAGAGGGAAACAACCCAGACCGCCAGCUAAGGUCCCAAAGUCAUGGUUAAGUGGGAAACGAUGUGGGAAGGCACAGACAGCCAGGAUGUUGGCUUAGAAGCAGCCAUCAUUUAAAGAAAGCGUAAUAGCUCACUGGUCGAGUCGGCCUGCGCGGAAGAUGUAACGGGGCUAAACCAUGCACCGAAGCUGCGGCAGCGACACUAUGUGUUGUUGGGUAGGGGAGCGUUCUGUAAGCCGUUGAAGGUGUGCUGUGAGGCAUGCUGGAGGUAUCAGAAGUGCGAAUGCUGACAUAAGUAACGAUAAAGCGGGUGAAAAGCCCGCUCGCCGGAAGACCAAGGGUUCCUGUCCAACGUUAAUCGGGGCAGGGUGAGUCGACCCCUAAGGCGAGGCCGAAAGGCGUAGUCGAUGGGAAACAGGUUAAUAUUCCUGUACUUGGUGUUACUGCGAAGGGGGGACGGAGAAGGCUAUGUCAGCCGGGCGACGGUUGUCCCGGUUUAAGCAUGUAGGCGGAGGUUCCAGGUAAAUCCGGUACCUUUUAACGCUGAGGUGUGAUGACGAGGCACUACGGUGCUGAAGUGAUAAAUGCCCUGCUUCCAGGAAAAGCCUCUAAGCAUCAGGUAACACGAAAUCGUACCCCAAACCGACACAGGUGGUCAGGUAGAGAAUACCAAGGCGCUUGAGAGAACUCGGGUGAAGGAACUAGGCAAAAUGGUGCCGUAACUUCGGGAGAAGGCACGCUGAUGUGUAGGUGAAGCCCCUGCGGGCGGAGCUGAAAUCAGUCGAAGAUACCAGCUGGCUGCAACUGUUUAUUAAAAACACAGCACUGUGCAAACACGAAAGUGGACGUAUACGGUGUGACGCCUGCCCGGUGCCGGAAGGUUAAUUGAUGGGGUUAGCGGCAACGCGAAGCUCUUGAUCGAAGCCCCGGUAAACGGCGGCCGUAACUAUAACGGUCCUAAGGUAGCGAAAUUCCUUGUCGGGUAAGUUCCGACCUGCACGAAUGGCGUAAUGAUGGCCAGGCUGUCUCCACCCGAGACUCAGUGAAAUUGAAAUCGCUGUGAAGAUGCAGUGUACCCGCGGCAAGACGGAAAGACCCCGUGAACCUUUACUAUAGCUUGACACUGAACACUGGUCCUUGAUGUGUAGGAUAGGUGGGAGGCUUUGAAGCGUGGACGCCAGUCUGCGUGGAGCCAUCCUUGAAAUACCACCCUUUAAUGGCUGGUGUUCUAACGUAGACCCGUGAUCCGGGUUGCGGACAGUGUCUGGUGGGUAGUUUGACUGGGGCGGUCUCCUCCCAAAGAGUAACGGAGGAGCACGAAGGUUGGCUAAUCCUGGUCGGACAUCAGGAGGUUAGUGCAAUGGCAUAAGCCAGCUUGACUGCGAGCGUGACGGCGCGAGCAGGUGCGAAAGCAGGUCAUAGUGAUCCGGUGGUUCUGAAUGGAAGGGCCAUCGCUCAACGGAUAAAAGGUACUCCGGGGAUAACAGGCUGAUACCGCCCAAGAGUUCAUAUCGACGGCGGUGUUUGGCACCUCGAUGUCGGCUCAUCACAUCCUGGGGCUGAAGUAGGUCCCAAGGGUAUGGCUGUUCGCCAUUUAAAGUGGUACGCGAGCUGGGUUUAGAACGUCGUGAGACAGUUCGGUCCCUAUCUGCCGUGGGCGCUGGAGAAUUGAGGGGGGCUGCUCCUAGUACGAGAGGACCGGAGUGGACGCAUCACUGGUGUUCGGGUUGUCAUGCCAAUGGCACUGCCCGGUAGCUAAAUGCGGAAGAGAUAAGUGCUGAAAGCAUCUAAGCACGAAACUUGCCCCGAGAUGAGUUCUCCCUGAGACCUUGAGUCUCCUGAAGGAACGUUGAAGACGACGACGUUGAUAGGUCGGGUGUGUAAGCGCAGCGAUGCGUUGAGCUAACCGAUACUAAUGAACCGUGAGGCUUAACCUU